GGAAAAGUUUGAUUUCCGCCCGUGCCGAGGUCAGGCCGCACCCUUGAAGGCCCCGAAGCUCCCAAGUUAGGAAGUGUUCCAGCUCUUCCCACUUUGUCAAUUCCUCCUGCUGCUAAUGGCAUACGUCGCUUUUUUUCUUUCUUCUUUUAAAGCGAAGAGAAACGUUUCUGUUGCACACACAGACGUUACUGAAAGUGCUUGCCAGUAAAAGGUGUUUUCACAACUCUCAAACAGUAUGACCAGAGUGGUUGAGGGUGAUCACCUCGAUUUUUGCCAUGUUCCUGAGAGAAGUGGAAGCUGUCGGCUCAAGGUCUUGCUUUGUCACCCGG